UCGAGAAUCUUGGGCAAUGCGCGAAAGCGUGACCCAGCAAUGCCGCGUGCAUGAUGAAGGCCUUCGGGUUGUAAAAUGCUGUCACCCGGGACGAAAAAAAUGACGGUACCGGGGGAGGAAGCCACCGCUAACUACGUGCCAGCAGCCGCGGUAAUACGUAGGUGGCGAGCGUUGUUCGGAAUUACUGGGCGUAAAGCGCACGUAGGCGGAUUUUUAAGUCAGGGGUAAAAUCCCGAGGCUCAACCUCGGAACUGCUUUUGUGACUGUAUAACUAGAGUACGGCAGAGGGGGAUGGAAUUCCGCGUGUAGCAGUGAAAUGCGUAGAUAUGCGGAGGAACACCAAUGGCGAAGGCAAUCCCCUGGGCCUGUACUGACACUCAUGCACGAAAGCGUGGGGAGCAAACA
rnacentral:rRNA from 1 species